rnacentral:rRNA from 1 species
UACGAAGGGGGCUAGCGUUGCUCGGAAUGACUGGGCGUAAAGGGCGCGUAGGCGGCGGCUCCAGUCGGAUGUGAAAUUCCUGGGCUUAACCUGGGGGCUGCAUUCGAUACGUGGUUGCUAGAGUGGGGAAGAGGGUCGUGGAAUUCCCAGUGUAGAGGUGAAAUUCGUAGAUAUUGGGAAGAACACCGGUGGCGAAGGCGGCGACCUGGUCCGAUACUGACGCUGAGGCGCGAAAGCGUGGGGAGCAAACAGG